UGGAAUAAUUUGAUUAGCAAGUCAUCCAAUGCCAAACAUUACACUAUAAAAUUAUGUCUCGUUCUCAUUACAAUAUUUCUACAUAAAACAUAAGGCUUUUGUUUUAAUCCUUAUUCGUGAGAUUGCCUUCUUAUAUAUAUAAUUAAAACACUACCAACUUUCAUUCUCUAUUUUAUUUCCUCACUUAAUAUACAUAUUUCGAUCAAACUGGAAAGCUUGUGCUAUUGCAGUAGGGCACAUAACAUCCUCGAAUCACAAGGUAGCUGGUUUUUCUUAAUUAUAUACGUUUAUUCAAUCUUUCUACACAUAUAUAUUUACUCCAUUUUGUAGUGACUCCAAUUUAAUUAAUUUUUUCAGUACUGUUCAUUAGCGUGAUUGGGCAUAUUUGGACCACAAGGUAGGUACUCCCAAUGCAUUUUCAUGCCUCUGAACAUUUAAUCACAAAUGUUUUCCUUCUCACCCAUAAUCAAUAAAUUUGCUCAAUAAAAAAAAAAUUAAUAAUAAUAAUAACAGUAAGUACAAAAAUCCAUAAAUCCAAACAUUCAAUCUGAAUAUGAAUAAAAGGUAAAAAAUAACGGAAACAUGCAUAAUAACGGAUUGUGAAAUAUCAACUUAGCUCAUGUAAAUCUAUAAAUAAAAAAUUUCUAGUUUAAUUUUCUUUUAGUAUUAUUUAGAAUAAUAACUUAUUUGUUUGAGCC
rnacentral:lncRNA from 1 species